CAGCAGCCGCGGUAAUACGUAGGUGGCAAGCGUUGUCCGGAAUUAUUGGGCGUAAAGGGCUCGCAGGCGGUUUCUUAAGUCUGAUGUGAAAGCCCCCGGCUCAACCGGGGUGGGUCAUUGGAAACUGGGAAACUUGAGCGCAGAAGAGGAGAGUGGAAUUCCACGUGUAGCGGUGAAAUGCGUAGAGAUAUGGAGGAACACCAGUGGCGAAGGCGACUCUCUGGCCUGUAACUGACGCUGAGGAGCGAAAGCGUGGGGAGCGAACAGGAUUAGAUACCCCGGUAGUCCCUGUCUCUUAUAC
rnacentral:rRNA from 1 species